rnacentral:rRNA from 1 species
GACGAACGCUGGCGGCGUGCCUAAUACAUGCAAGUCGAGCGAGACUCUUCGGAGUCUAGCGGCGGACGGGUGAGUAACACGUGGGCAACCUGCCUGUAAGACUGGAUAACACCGGGAAACCGGUGCUAAUACCGGAUAAUCCUUUUCCUCUCAUGAGGAAAAGCUGAAAGUCGGUUUCGGCUGACACUUACAGAUGGGCCAGCGGCGCAUUAGCUAGUUGGUGAGGUAACGGCUCACCAAGGCGACGAUGCGUAGCCGACCUGAGAGGGUGAUCGGCCACACUGGGACUGAUACACGGCCCAGAGUCCUACGGGAGGCAGCGGUAGGGAAUCUUCCACAAUGGACGAAAGUAUGAUGGAGCAACGCCGCGUGAGCGAUGAAGGCCUUCGGGUCGUAAAGCUCUGUUGUUAGGGAAGAACAAGUACCGGAGUAACUGCCGGUACCUUGACGGUACCUAACCAGAAAGCCACGGCUAACUACGUGCCAGCAGCCGCGGUAAUAC